rnacentral:tRNA from 1 species
GGCAUCUUGUCCGAGUGGUUAUGGAGUUGGUUUUAAGUUAUGUUUGUCUAGCAAACUUAAAUCACACCAAUGCUCGAAAGAGCGCGCGCGUUCGAACCGCGCAGAUGUCA